GUUACAAAGGCAGAAAAAUGUAUUUUAGACAAUUUAUGGAUUUCCUAUAAUAAGAAUCCAAAAGAUCAAAAAUAUUUUUUAGCAUGUUUAAAUGCUCUUUCAGAACAUUUUAGUCAAGAUCAUAAACAAUUUAAAUGUUAUGUUGUUUUAAAUGGAAGACUUCCAGGAAUAUAUCAUACCUGGUUAGAAGUUUCAGAUUGUAUUAAGAAUUUUCCAAAUCCUCUUUACAAAGGAUUUUAUUCAAUUUCAGAAGCAUUAGAAGAAUGUAGAAAAUUUAUUGGUCCAAAUUAUUUUAUUGCUCCUUCUUUAAAAAAUGUUUCAGACCAACCUUUAGAUUAUUCUUCAAGAUUUUGUGAUCAUUGUGAAUGUAUGACAAAGAACUUUAAGAUUUUAAAUGAAUCAAACCAGACUUUACAGCAAGAGAAAUUAGCUUUACAAAAGAAAAUCUCUGAUUUAGAACAAGAGAUUAAUUUAAAAAUUUUAAAUCCUAUCUCUCAGACAGAAGCAGGUACUAUAGAGCCCAAGAAUUCUAUAGCUAGUCCAGCUCAAACGGAAGCUGGUAAAGACUUAUCAAAUCCGUUUAUGGUUCUGGGCUUACCAAAAGCUCAACAGACUCAGAGGACUGUUGAUUCCUCUACUUCUCAGACUCAACAGGAUGAAAAUCCUGUUACAAAAGAACAGACACAGCAGACUGGUAAUUCUACUACAAGACUUAUUAGCCCAAUAGAUCUUAAACAGAAAAGCCCAAUUAAUUUUCCAGGAUCAUUCCAAUCAGCUCAGGAUCCAGAACAGAUUUCUCAGUCAGAUAUUAGAAAGAUCAAAGAAAUGUUUGAAAAGAUUGAAGAGAUUCAGCAACAAGUUAAACAAAGCACUACAAAGAAAAAGAAAUUACAAAUUAAAAAGAAAAAUAAAGGUAAAAAGAAGAUUGAACAAGAAAGAGAUUUGGAUGACUCCAAAGACAAUAAUUCAGAAGAUAAUCCAGAAGAUUUUACUGACGGAGGAGAUUCUUUAGACAGUAUUGGCAUACACAAUUAUGCAACAAGAUAAGAGAUUUUUCAGACAGGUGUAAAGAAUUAAUCAGACAGCUGGAGAAAAGACAAGAAGUCUCUAGAAAAAGAAUAUAUUCGUCCAGAUGUCAAGACUUUUGAAGAUUUUUAAUUUUUACUUUUUGAAAAAUUUGUAAAAGAAUCUUACUAUUUUAUAAAGUAAGAUUUGAUAGGAUU
rnacentral:lncRNA from 1 species